UCAGUGCAAUGGAAACCCAGAAAAGAUGGGUCACAGCAGUGGCCCAGGCAAGGAGGGGUCACCUCUCUGAUUCUUCCUGUCCCCUCAGGUGUCUGGGGCCUUUACUCGGUACCCAAGGGUUGACCUCCUCUGGCCUCUGUGUUCCCGCUGGACAAGAUGCGCUCCCAAGUUCCCCCAGCUCUGUUGUUCUGAGGUUUGGCCCAUGUUGUCAUUGUCAUCUGCACACCCAGCCCGUUCACAGGAGGCUCAUGGGAGCCCAGGGGGCUGAUGGGAGCUCAGGGUGUUCAUGGGAGCCAAGGGCCUCAUGGGACCCAGGGGUCUCAUGGGAGGCAGGCGUGGACCGAGAACUUGAUGGAUUUCCCCCCCGGGACAUCCCUAUCUUCUGGAAAGGCCUGACCUACACUAGUGAGGGGCAUCUUCCUGUGUCAUCUGGUGAUUCCAACCCCAGUCUCCAAACAGCCCUCUGCGACACGGGUGCCAUAGGUUCACCAUCACUGCCUUGACCCAACCAAGUCUGCCUCAAAUGAUCCCAGUGAUCACCUCACCCAAAUCUUAAAAAUGUAUCAGUUGGUUCUCUCGAGCCAGGCUUCGUACAGUGCUGACUCCCCCCACCCAAGCCACUGAAUCCUGUCUCCCUGGUUGCUGAUGUCUUCAGCCCUGCAAUGUGGAGUAGCAUCUUUCUCUUCUCAGGAAGAGUUCGGGGUUAAUUAAGGCACCAGUGACCCCAGAACAGAUGAUUAUUUUCCAGACCUGAUGGAUGCAGGUGCCAGGAGAAGAAUGAGUGGAAAGACAGG
rnacentral:lncRNA from 1 species